rnacentral:rRNA from 1 species
UAAAUCAGUUAUCGUUUAUUUGAUAGUACCUUACUACUUGGAUAACCGUGGUAAUUCUAGAGCUAAUACAUGCUGAAAACCCUAACUUCGGAAAGGGUGUAUUUAUUAGAUAAAAAACCAAUGCCCUUUGGGCUCUUUGGUGAUUCAUGAUAACUUAACGGAUCGCAUGGCCUUGCGCCGGCGACGGUUCAUUCAAAUUUCUGCCCUAUCAACUUUCGAUGGUAAGGUAUUGGCUUACCAUGGUUUCAACGGGUAACGGGGAAUUAGGGUUCGAUUCCGGAGAGGGAGCCUGAGAAACGGCUACCACAUCCAAGGAAGGCAGCAGGCGCGCAAAUUACCCAAUCCCGACACGGGGAGGUAGUGACAAUAAAUACUGAUACAGGGCUCUUUUGGGUCUUGUAAUCGGAAUGAGUACAAUUUAAACCUCUUAACGAGGAACAAUUGGAGGGCAAGUCUGGUGCCAGCAGCCGCGGUAAUUCCAGCUCCAAUAGCGUAUAUUAAAGUUGUUGCAGUUAAAAAGCUCGUAGUUGAAUCUUGGGCCUGGCUGGCCGGUCCGCCUCACCGCGUGUACUGGUCUGGCCGGGCCUUUCCUUCUGGAGAACCUCAUGCCCUUCAGUGGGUGUGCUGGGGAACCAGGACUUUUACUUUGAAAAAAUUAGAGUGUUCAAAGCAGGCCUUUGCUCGAAUACGUUAGCAUGGAAUAAUAGAAUAGGACGUGCGGUCCUAUUUUGUUGGUUUCUAGGACCGCCGUAAUGAUUAAUAGGGAUAGUCGGGGGCAUCAGUAUUCAAUUGUCAGAGGUGAAAUUCUUGGAUUUAUUGAAGACUAACUACUGCGAAAGCAUUUGCCAAGGAUGUUUUCAUUAAUCAGUGAACGAAAGUUAGGGGAUCGAAGACGAUCAGAUACCGUCGUAGUCUUAACCGUAAACUAUGCCGACUAGGGAUCGGGCGAUGUUUCUAUAUUGACUCGCUCGGCAC